GUGAACGCUGGCGGUAGGCCUAACACAUGCAAGUCGCACGGCAGCACAGUAAGAGCUUGCUCUUACGGGUGGCGAGUGGCGGACGGGUGAGGAAUACAUCGGAAUCUACUUUUUCGUGGGGGAUAACGUAGGGAAACUUACGCUAAUACCGCAUACGACCUACGGGUGAAAGCAGGGGAUCUUCGGACCUUGCGCGAUUGAAUGAGCCGAUGUCGGAUUAGCUAGUUGGCGGGGUAAAGGCCCACCAAGGCGACGAUCCGUAGCUGGUCUGAGAGGAUGAUCAGCCACACUGGAACUGAGACACGGUCCAGACUCCUACGGGAGGCAGCAGUGGGGAAUAUUGGACAAUGGGCGCAAGCCUGAUCCAGCCAUACCGCGUGGGUGAAGAAGGCCUUCGGGUUGUAAAGCCCUUUUGUUGGGAAAGAAAAGCAGCAGGUUAAUACCCCGCUGUUCUGACGGUACCCAAAGAAUAAGCACCGGCUAACCUCGUG
rnacentral:rRNA from 1 species